UACGGGGGGUGCAAGCGUUAUCCGGAUUCACUGGGUUUAAAGGGUGCGUAGGCGGCCUGACAAGUCACUGGUGAAAGCCCAUAGCUCAACUAUGGAAUUGCCAAUGAAACUGUCAGGCUUGAAUCUGGUUGAAGUGGCUGGAAUAUAUCAUGUAGCGGUGAAAUGCUUAGAUAUGAUGUAGAACACCAAUUGCGAAGGCAGGUCACUAAGCCAUCAUUGACGCUGAGGCACGAAAGCGUGGGUAGCGAACAGG
rnacentral:rRNA from 1 species